rnacentral:lncRNA from 1 species
GGCUCUCAAGAAGAGUCGUUCACGCCUGAGCCAGAAAGUCGUCGGUGCCAGGGAUCCCUGCUCCCCGGGUCGCCCUCCCGCCCUGUUCUCACCCAGAAGAGACAAACUAGGCCGUUUGGUCUGAGGCAUUUCACACCUGUCACCUCACUGGCGCCUCUAACAACCUUUAAGGAGGAGACCUUCCUGACUCAAGGACUGAACCCAAGUCUCACGUCUUCCGCACUGGCACCAGCCAGUCACGGCAUGACCUGCAUCACCAGCUGACUCCUGCGCUGGUCACUGCACGGCCACUAGCACCACCUGGGAAGCCCCAGUAAGUGUAUUCUAUUUCAGUAAAAAAGAAAAAUAGGUACUUUAAUAUAUUUAACUUAUAUUUAAAUAUAUUUAAUAUAUUAGUUAACUGACUGGUAAUCUGCUCCACUGUGUGUAUAUGUGAGUGUGUUUGUAUUUUCAUUGCCAUUUUACAGAAGGGGAAACUCAGGCUCUGGAAAGGGAAGUGAUUCAGAGGCUGUUACGAGAAUUAACCAUAAAUAGCUAAUGUUUGUGGAGCCUAAACUGCUUGGUCUAGGGUAUCUUUCUGACAGUCCCAUGACUUUCAACUCAUUUUGUAGGCAAGAAAAACAGGCUUUGCUGAAG